GAUGAAGAACGUAGCGAAAUGCGAUAAGUAAUGUGAAUUGCAGAAUCCAGUGAAUCAUCGAAUCUUUGAACGCACAUUGCGCCCGCCAGCAUUCUGGCGGGCAUGCCUGUUCGAGCGUCAUUUCAACCCUCGACCUCCCCUUGGGGAAGUCGGCGUUGGGGACCGGCAGCAUACCGCCGGCCCCGAAAUGGAGUGGCGGCCCGUCCGCGGCGACCUCUGCGUAGUAAUCCAACCUCGCACCGGAACCCCGACGUGGCCACGCCGUAAAACCCCCAACUUUCUGAACGUUGACCUCGGAUCAGGUAGGAAUACCCGCUGAACUUAAGCAUAUCAAUAAGCGGAGGA
rnacentral:misc_RNA from 1 species